ACAGAUUCUCUCUGAGCCAAAUGGGUUAAGGGAGAAGUGAUGGAGGCGAUUCGAAGCUGUCUUUCCUACCCUCUUCAGUACCUCUUCCAGUGAUGUGAAGUUAAAACCAGAGAUGGAGUCUCCCUGUGUUGCCCAGUCUGGUCUUGAGAGCUUCAGUUUUAAAUAAUAAAUUGUUCUCGUCUUUCUAAAUUUCAAUCAAAACACAGGAUGUAUUUUAAAAGGGAAAAACUGUGAGGUAAAAGAAUAGGGUGAGGGGAGGAAAGAAAUAACUUCAUAGAGAAAAAUUCAAUGAACCCUUGGAAGAAAAUAUAUGGAAGUAUGGUUACUGACUUGGGAAAGAAGAGAAAGGUACAAUGUAACUGCACAUAGAAGCCAGUCCUGAAAAGAAGCAAGCCGGCUGAAGUUAUCUGCAACUCAGAAGCACUUGGUACCACCCAAGGGGAGAUAAGAGCUACAUAACUGGAGCCUCAGCUCUUCACUGACUGUCCUCAGGUUCCAGGGGCCACCUGCAGUUCCUUGCCACAUGGAUUUCUCCAGCAUAGCUGUGUACUUCAUCAAGGCACAAGGAGAGUCUCCAGUCUACCAGAGCCCUAUGUAAUGUAACAUAAUCAACAAAGUGACGUCCCAUUCAUAUUCAAUUGGUCAGAAGCAAGUUACAGUCCCCACCCAGGUCAGAGGGAGGAGAUAUGACAAAGAAGUAAACAUCAGGAGGCUGGGACAAUGGGGAUACUUAAGGUCCAUCCUGCUACAACUUCCACAAUGGCGUCUUGACCAUGAGGGCUCCACAGACACUGAAGCGGUCACCCAGGCUGCAAGUCUUGGAGGCAUUCUCUAGGAAUCACAGUCCCAUUCUUCUGCAGGCAAACGGAGUCGCCAUAUGACCCAGUAAGUUUACUCUUAGGUACAUUCCCUAGAGAAAUAAAAAUAUAUGUCCGUGCAAAAACAUGUAUGUGAGUGUUCGUAGCAGUGUUAUUCAUAAUAGCCAAAAGGUGGAAACAAGCCAAAUGUUUGUCAACUGAUGAAUGGAGAAAUAAAAUGUGGUAUAACCAUACAAUGGAACAUUAAACAGGAAUAAAAAGAAAUGGAAUGCUGAGACAUGCAACAACAUGGAUGAACCUCAAGUACAUUAUGCUAAAAGAAAGAAGCCGGUCACAAAGGACCACAGCUUGCAUGAUUCCAUUUAUACAAAAUGUCCAGAAUAGGCAGAUCUACAGACUGGAAGUAGAACAGGGAUUGCCAAGGGCUGUGGGAAGGGAAAAGUGGGGAACAAUGCUAAUGGGUAAGAGCUUUCUUUAUGGGAUAAUAAAAUGUUCCAAAUUUAGAUUGUGGUGAUAGUUGCACAAUUCUGUGAAAAUACUAACAAUUUUUAAUGGGCGACUAUUAUGGCAUGUGAAUUAUAUCUCAGUAAAUCUUUUUUUAUUAAAAAACAAAAAAG
rnacentral:lncRNA from 1 species